rnacentral:rRNA from 1 species
GAUGAACGCUGGCGGCGUGCCUAACACAUGCAAGUCGAACGGAAAGGCUCCUGCUUGCAGGGGUUCUCGAUUGGCGAACGGGUGAGUAUCACGUGGGUAAUCUGCCCUGCACUUCGGGAUAAGCCUGGGAAACUGGGUCUAAUAUCGGAUAGGACGAUGGUUUCGAUGCCAUUGUGGAAAGUUUUUCGGUGUGGGAUGGGCUCGCGGCCGAUCAGCUUGUUGGUGGGGUAAUGGCUGACGAAGCCGCCGACGGAUGGCCGGCCUGGGAGGGUGGACGGGCUCCUUGGGACUGAGGUACGGCGCAGUCGGCUACGGGAGGCAGCGGUGGGAAGUCUUGCACAGUGGGGGCGAGCGUGAUGCGGCGGCGCCGCGUGGGGGAUGACGGCCUUCGGGUUAUGAACACCUUUCGCUAGGGACGAAGCGAAAGUGACGGUACCUGAAGAAGAAGCACCGGCUAACUACGUG